GGGUGUCUGCCUUAUGCAGUUGCAGAUAAGGGAUGAAACACACCCUGGCCUCCUGCAACGCCCCCAGGCUUGCUAGGAUUAGGAAAUUCCAGCCUGGCAAAUUCUAGUCAGACCAGUUCUCUGCUCUUGAACCCUGUUAAGAUGUUUAUCAAUGACAAUGUGAGCACAGUGGGACAUAGAAGUUCAUUAGUGAUUCCAGUUUUGCCCUGACCUUGUGAUCUCACCCUGACCUUCUGCCUUGUGAUCUUUCGUCACCCUUGAAGCAUGUGAUCUCUGUGACCCACACCUUAUUUGUACACUCCCUCCCCUUUGAAAAUUGCUAAUAAAAACUUGCUGGUUUUACGGCUCAGGGGGCAUCACGGAACCUGCCGACAUGUGAUGUCUCCCCCGGACACCCAGCUUUAAAAUUUCUCUCUUGUACUCUUUCCCUUUAUUUCUAGACCGGCCAACACUUAGAGAAAUAGAAAAGAACCUAUGUGAAAUAUCGGGGGCUGGUUUCCCCUGAUAGUGAAGGAGACAGGUUAGAUACACUGGAGCUUCCACACAGGAGAGAGGGAAGGAGCUGGAGAAGAAGACAGGAGCCACAGAUUUUGGAGUACUGCAAAAUGACUUUCCAAAUUGAUGAACCAUGGACUCCAAGCUGGAUAGACACAGAAAUGAAAAGAAGGGACUAAUAGGGAAUAAGACGUGUGAUCCAUGGCCCGAUGGCCCUGAUGGACGUGAAGAUCCACUGUUGUGGGAGGAGUGGAACACUAACACUGAAUGAUGGAGGCUGUGGUCAGAAACAGCUGAAUAUAACUGGCCAGUGCAGAAGAGCCUAUGAAGGUGGAAAAUGGAGGAAGGAGGACCCCAUGCUGGAGAAGUGAUGGAGAUUUGAAGCCUUGGAAGAUGGCGGCAAGGGAGAUGCCAGAGAUGAGACAAUGUUAAACAUCUGUAAUCUAACAGUCUUCUAUGGGAGUUUAUUACAUUUCCAUAUCCUAUGUUCACUUCUAGUGAAAAAUAAAAAUAAAAUCUUAAGCCCCCCACAGCUGACUAAAUGGAUCCCAUUGUGAAAGGAAAAUAUCUUGAGCCUCCAAAAUCACUAAGGAAAAUUCAAGCUGGAAACUUCUUAGGACAAACCUGCCUCCCAUUCUCUUCAAAGUUAUUCCUCUGCUCGAGGAGCUAGAUGCAUAUCUGAUUGCCGCCUUUGGAAAGGCUAACCAGAAACUCAAAAGAAUGAUACAGUUUGUUAUCACCUACCUGUGACCUGGAAGCUCCCUCCCUCCCCACUUGAGUCUUCCUGCUUUUGUUUCAAGCUGUCCUGCCUUUCCAGACCAAACCAAUGUACUUCUUACGUAUAUUGAUUGAUGUCUCACUCAUGUCUCCCUAAAUCGUAUAAAACCAAGCUGUGCCCCAACUACCCUGGGCAUGUGUCAUCAGGAUUUCAUGAAGCUGUGUCACGGGCGCAUUCCCCAACCUUGAAAAAAUAAACUUUCUAAAUUAACUGAGACCUGUCUCAGAUUUUCUGGGUUCACAUUGUUUUCGUCAAGGGGACUCCCCAAGUAACUUUGAAAACUGAGUUCUAGGCUGUGAGGGGAUGGGAGGUCAGAGGUCAGACGCACCUUGCUGCACACCUCCACCUCGCUAACCCCCUUAGGCUUUCUUCCCUAGGGGCUAAACAGAAACCAGCUCUUUCCUUUUUUUUUUUUCUUUUUUUUUAGAGACGAGUCUUGCUCUGUCACCCAGGCUGGAGUGCAGUGGUUCGAUUUUGGCUCACUGCAACCACCACCUCCCAGGUUCAAGCAAUUCUCCUGCCUCAGCUUCCCAAGUAACUGCAACUACAAGCACAUGCCACCAUGCCCGGCUAAUUUCUUUUGUAUUUUUAGUAGAGAUGGGGUUUCACCAUGUUGCCCGGGCUGGUCUUGAACUCCUGAGCUCAGGCAAUCUGUCCGCCUCAGCCUCCCAAAGUGCUAGGAUUACAGGCAUGAGCCACUGCACCCAGCCAAAACCAGCUCUUUCAAAAGACUCCAGUGCUGAUAUCAACAACUGCCUGAGGCUUCCCCACCCUUUUGCAGUUUCCACAUAACAAUUAACCAGCAUUCCCUCCUGAUAAGAGACAACACCCCGCCCGCCGACGCAGAGCGGUUCUGGCCAGUCUUCAGAGGCUGCACACAGAGAGCCUGCGUGUCCCUGCUUUGUCUUUCGAUGUAAAAGGCCUAACUGUCAUGCAUUGAAAUGUGAAGUCUCCAGCCCAAAGUGAACAUGGGACACAUGCUGCAUGCAUGUUAGCCUGCUACACAUGCAUGAUCCUCUUCAUGAAUAUUCAUAGCUCCUCCUGUAAUCUGUUGAAUAUGUAUACUUAGCCAACCUGCUCAACAUAAAUUCCUGUUCCCUUUACCCCUCCUUUGAAAUAUGUGUUUCCAGCUUCUGGCCCAAGGCUACGCUUUCCAGCCUGUCAGAAUGGCUGCCUGCAAGCAGCAACCCUUUAGGAGAAAGAAAGCUCUCCUUUCCAAAUUUAUAAAUGUCAUCAUACUUCAGUUUACAAUAGUAUUUAAUUUUUUGACCUUUAAGUUCUCCAAGGUCCUUCUCCAUUUUUAAGGCUUUCGAAAUUAACUGAUGAUUCUACUAAAAAGCUAAAAAUAGGUUUUUUGUUUCCAAAUAAUCAGAACAUAAUACAGUCAAAAGCACCAUAUAGAAAUAGUUCCCUGUUUCCAGCCAAUACGGCUGUGUCUCUGUUUUGAACAUUUGCCUCCAGAGUGUUGCUGAUGCAGUUCAAACAGAAAGCACUGAGAAAUAAAAUUUGCAAGUGGUUUCUGUUGAGAGUUUCUACUGUUUAUAAGUCUGCGAGAAUUAGUUACGUUACAGCAGGGAGUGAGAGAGAGAAGCAGCGGGUACCAAAACCUCGCUGAGCUCCUACCUGCCCUCCCCAUUUCUUGCCCGCCCCCCAUGGCUACCUGCCCCCUGCGAUGAACUCGAGACCUUGGAAUGAGAAACAGUUCAGAGUUGUCUGGUGUGUGCAUAUCACCUGUGGUCUAACUCAUCACCCUGAAAGAAACCAAAAUAUUUCACCCCAAAAUACCCUUCUUUGACAUAUUUUGAGAGGGCUGUUCAGAGGGCCUGCGAGCAUGGGCAGCCCUGCAAAGGUGUCUGGUGGGGGAGAUUUGCAUCUGAGGGAAAAUCAGCAGUGAUACAGUCAGGCUUAGAGUUCCUCCCUUGUCUGGAUCUAGAAAAGAUUAACUGAGAGUGACAUCUUUAAAGAGCUGAAAGAAACAUUUCCCAUCUAUUCUCUGUGACGGUUGCCACCUGCAAGGUUUCAUCUACAUAACAAGACCACCUUUGCAGACCAGGUCUCCUCUUCUCUCCCUCCCAUAACCUGUCUUGCCAUUAGAAACUGAUUUACCACCAUAACCUGUUUUUAGCCAUGCUCUGAGGCCCCAUUCUUUCUGUAACCUUGAGACGGCAUAAAGAGGUCAACCAUCUGGCCAUUUCUUUGAGUUCUUAUAUUUUGUAGGACUCCCAUAUAUAUUAAUAAAUUUGGAUGCCUUUUCUCCUAUUAAUAUGCCUUUUGUCAGUUGAUUUUUCAGUGAACCUUCAGCGGGUGAAGGAGAAGUUUUCCCUUGGUCCCUACAAUCUGUUUACCCUAAACCAGGCUGAUACAAAAAUUAAAUGAUGU
rnacentral:lncRNA from 10 species